rnacentral:lncRNA from 10 species
AUAAUCAUGGACAGCAGUUAAAGGAGUGUGGGUGGCUCCACAGAGUGGUACCCACCAAGGAAACCCCAGCAGAUACUGGGAUAGUGCAUCCAGGUGUUCACAUUCGAGCCAACAGAUCUUAGGGAGCCUGUGGGUUCCAGGGCAAGAGAUUGUGAGAAAACUGGAGUUAGAGCCACAUGGUUUCAGCCUCCAUGCAGAGGUUGGUGCAGGUGAACUAAGGAAGCAGAAAGCUUUUGUGGGAAUUCAAGGGCGGGCGAGUGGGCCUGGGAGUGAGGAUGGGCAGAAGCAAGUGAACAGAACCAACUCCCUGCCCAAAGGGACUGGCCAAGAAUAACCACCCUGGGGAGCCUGCCGUGGUCACACACAAGCCCUGGAAGUUCUUCAGCCCUCUUCACAUUUAACACUGGGGUGAAGCACAGCAAAGUAACUUUACCAGGAAAUCCCUGCUCUGUUGAAGCCCAGGACCUGAAGGCAGGGUGGGCAGCUAGAAUUUUCCCACGUCACAUGGAAACCUCUCUCCAACAAGGUAAAAAUCCCCAACACUGGCUGCACAGAAAGCACCAGACACUGUUGUUUUACUCUUAUGUUAUGAAUAUUUAUUUUUUCUCCUUAAAAAUGUACAAAAAAUAAAAUAACUGUAUUUAUAGUUUAUAGAUUCCCCCUCUCCCAUUUACAAAACUAUUAAGUUACAUUUACCUUUUUUUUUUUAAAACAUGAGAGCAAAUUGUACAUAUAUCAAUCUCCCUUGCUUGUCUUUAAGAAAGGGCCGUUCAUAGCAUUUGGCACAAACCCUCUAUUUCUGUUGCAUUUGCAUGAUUUUAAAUAAGAAGGAAAAUAAACAUUUGAUUUAUUUCAUGCUUCCUAAGUUUCUGGGCAGGGACAUGCCUUACUCUUUUAGAAACCAAUUCCAAGAUGACAUCUGACUGCAUUUUUCUGUUGGUCCGAACUUCUAAACAAACACUCAUAAAGUAAGUUUAAACAAUUUGGAGAUGUAUGAGGAAAAAGUCUUGUUCUGUUCAGUUCAGACUUUGUUAAAAAAAAAAAAGAAAAAAAUGCUCAUUUCACAUGUCCAUGAUCUUCCAUGGAUUUUUUUUAAGCUUAUUUGAGUUUGAUUAAGGGACAAAAAAGAAGAGGCGGCAAGUUUUCCUAUCUCUUUGGAGUGUUUCGCUCAGGAAAUUUUGCUCAUCAAAGUUCAGCUAACAUACACAGCGGACACAUCAAAGGCAAACUGGGGUGCUCCGAGGAUGCAGAGGGGAAUGGAUCGGAAGGGAUGUGGCACUUGGCACCACCCUCUGGUGGCACUGGCCUCAUAUCCCUUGUGGCAAUUGUCACCACCAUGAUUGCUCAAGGACUUAGGAAACAUGCACAGCAUCUUCAAUUCAUCUUCUGCCUUAGGGCAGGACUGGCAAACAAACAGUUUCAUAAAGAGGCUGGAGAGAGAGGGGUAGGUUGCCUGUGUCAGGCUGCCAAAUCUUUUGUCUUUUUCCUACUCUGGAGUCCUAUGCCCCAGUCCGAGUAUUUGCCGUUGUUAUGUCUGCCAAUCAUGUUUGAAACUAUUCCUAACCCUAGGAGCAUGGGAAGUGCAUAGUACAACAUGUAUUUCCAACACUGAAUUUGUCCAUCUCAGAACAGAGCCCCAUUAGUACCCUGGAGGGUCCCCAAGCUGCUGGUCCGGGGCGUGGCAGUCAGAGUGGAGGAGGAGGGGAC